UGGGGAAUAUUGCACAAUGGGCGCAAGCCUGAUGCAGCCAUGCCGCGUGUAUGAAGAAGGCCUUCGGGUUGUAAAGUACUUUCAGCGGGGAGGAAGGGAGUAAAGUUAAUACCUUUGCUCAUUGACGUUACCCGCAGAAGAAGCACCGGCUAACUCCGUGCCAGCAGCCGCGGUAAUACGGAGGGUGCAAGCGUUAAUCGGAAUUACUGGGCGUAAAGCGCACGCAGGCGGUUGAUUGAGUCAGAUGUGAAAUCCCCGGGCUUAACCCGGGAAUUGCAUCUGAUACUGAUCAGCUAGAGUCUUGUAGAGGGGGGUAGAAUUCCAUGUCUAGCGGUGAAAUGCGUAGAGAUGUGGAGGAAUACCGGUGGCUAAGGCGGCCCCCUGGACAAAGACUAACGCUCAGGUGCGAAAGCGUGGGGAGCAAACAGG
rnacentral:rRNA from 1 species